rnacentral:rRNA from 1 species
UACGUAGGGGUCGAGCGUUGUCCGGAGUUACUGGGCGUAAAGCGUGUGCAGGCGGCUCAUUUCGCCCGGCGUGAAAGCCCCCGGCUCAACCGGGGAGAGUCGUCGGGGACGGGUGAGCUUGAGGGUAUCAGGGGCUGGUGGAAUUCCCGGUGUAGUGGUGAAAUGCGUAGAUAUCGGGAGGAACACCCGUGGCGAAGGCGGCCAGCUGGGAUACACCUGACGCUGAGACACGAAGGCGUGGGGAGCGAACGGG